rnacentral:rRNA from 1 species
GACGUAGGGCGCGAGCGUUGUCCGGAUUUAUUGGGCGUAAAGAGCUCGUAGGCGGUGUGUCGCGUCGGCCGUGAAAGCCUGCAGCUUAACUGUGGGCGUGCGGUCGAUACGGGCAUCACUGGAGUUCGGCAGGGGAGACUGGAAUUCCUGGUGUAGCGGUGAAAUGCGCAGAUAUCAGGAGGAACACCGGUGGCGAAGGCGGGUCUCUGGGCCGAUACUGACGCUGAGGAGCGAAAGCGUGGGGAGCGAACAGG